GCGCCGGCGGUUUCUUCCCCCUGUGUCCUCUGCCCUAGCCACCUCACGCCGCCACCAUAGCCGACAGUCGGCCGCCACUGAGCCCUGCCGAAGCCGCUGCCCUCACUGGACUUGAGCAGCGCUGUCGCCUCUUCCUAGCAUCGCCGUCGCCUCUGCCUAGCAUCGCCGUCGCCGUGCCCUAGGUGCCGAGCGCCACUGACCACCGUAGCACCGCCGCACCUUUUACUCUAGCGCCAGCCUUCUGCCCGUGAUGCUGACCCCCUCUGCCGCCGGUGACGAGCCACCUCUCCGACUUCCCUGUGCGCCGGCCGAAGUUUCCCUUCCUUGUGUCUCUGAUCUAGAGUGAUUGCGGCCUUGUUUCUGCCCUAUGCGACGCCGCCUCUGUACACUAUGCCUAGGUCGCCGGAAAUCAAGAGCUUAAGAAGGUGACAGGGGGUAGUUGUAACCCGGCCAGUGGAACUGAAGCACUUGGGUGUGGGAUGGCUAAUUUAGUGUAUAGGGUUUGGUGGACAGCGGCUUCACCAACUUCUGAUUCUCGCUGUCAUCAUCGAAGAAGAGCAACUUGAUCAGGGCAGUAGGUUGUUACGUCUGGCCAGUAGGUUUGAUUUGGGGCUGUUGGAACUUGUCGUGGCAAUCUUGCUUUGGUUGAGGGCAUCAAGGAAGAGCCACUCACCUUGUUCCAGCAGAAAACACAUUCCUUGAUUAUGGAUU